CAGACUCCUACGGGAGGCAGCAGUGGGGAAUAUUGCACAAUGGGCGCAAGCCUGAUGCAGCGACGCCGCGGUGAGGGAUGACGGCCUUCGGGUUGUAAACCUCUUUCAAUAGGGACGAAGCGCAAGUGACGGUACCUAUAGAAGAAGCACCGGCCAACUACGUGCCAGCAGCCGCGGUAAUACGUAGGGUGCGAGCGUUGUCCGGAAUUAUUGGGCGUAAAGAGCUCGUAGGUGGUUUGUCGCGUUGUUCGUGAAAACUCACAGCUUAACUGUGGGCGUGCGGGGGAUACGGGCAGACUAGAGUACUGCAGGGGAGACUGGAAUUCCUGGUGUAGCGGUGGAAUGCGCAGAUAUCAGGAGGAACACCGGUGGCGAAGGCGGGUCUCUGGGCAGUAACUGACGCUGAGGAGCGAAAGCGUGGGGAGCGA
rnacentral:rRNA from 1 species